AUACAUAUAUUAUAAAUUAUGAAUUUCACAAAGGUUUUAACAGUGACAUUUUUUCUUAUUAUGAUUUUUGUAGCAAAUAGUAAUGUAAGUGGUAAGGUGAACUUGGCUUGUCCAUUAAAGUGUGCAACAUCAUGUUUCACCAAUCCUGUUUGCUUAGGACUUUGCUUGAAGGAUUGCUUUUGUUGUAAAUCAUUCUAUUGUAAGAUUGCUUGUGUAAAGAAAAGUUGCUCCGAAUUUAAAGACGAUGAUGAGCUAAUGACUCAAUGCUGGGAUGAAUGUUCAACUAAGUGCUAAUUAGAAAGGCAUGUGCUACUAUACUAUUUGUUAGAAAAAGCAAACUAGAAAACAAUCUUGAUGAAUUAAAUGUAAUCAAGAUUUAUGAUGUUAAUGAAUAGGAGUGCAAUAAUAAUUUCUUUUUAUCU